UUGCUACUACUGGAUUAGCUUAAUACAUAGAUGAUAACCAUUAUCAUCUAUGUAUUAAGCUAAUCCAGUAGUAGCAA
rnacentral:pre_miRNA from 1 species